rnacentral:lncRNA from 1 species
GUUUGUUUAAAAGGACAUGGAAUUACAAUAUAAACAUGCACAUACACACAAAUGCAAAUGUAGGUAAACCUAAACUUUAUGCAUUAAAUGGAAUGGGUAUAGAUAAAGUUUAGUAAUUUUCACUUGGCUUAAAAGCAUGAAAACUUUGCUUAGGUAUAGAGUAAAAAAGUUGCAUAUAUUUUAUGUAAUAAUAACACAUUUGGUACACAUUUCACAUACUUACUCUAAAAUGAUCUGCCGUGAUUGAAAGCACAUGUGAAGAGUUUGAACUUCUGUAUGAUUUGUCAUGGUAAUGAAGGCCCUAAAGAUAUAUUUGUCCUGAGUGCUAAGUACCCAGAUGACUGACUUAGAAAUUCUUGAAGUUAUGCAUGCUAUCAGAGAGAGGAAGAGGAUGCUUACCACAUUGUACAAGCUGAUGCACCAAUGCUCAAAUAUAAUCUGCCCAGAGAAUCCAUUAACAAAGGAGAACCAAAGCUGGAAGAGAGGGAAGCUAAAUGAAGCAUUUCAUCAAUGUUGACCUAAAUAUAUCCAUAUAUUGAAAAGAAGUGAUACAGAAGAGGGACACUUUCUCUGGCACAGCUGCUAGAGGACAAUCACUUAGGGGACCAUACAGAUGUCCUUUCAUAAACUAUGAAUUGUAAACACCAAUCCUUAAUGAUGUUAAAAAUAUUGAUGUAUUUGGUAACUAAUGGCAUACAUCUUUAUACUAAAAUACAAACUUCUUG